rnacentral:rRNA from 1 species
UGGGGAAUAUUGCACAAUGGGCGCAAGCCUGAUGCAGCGACGCCGCGUGAGGGAUGACGGCCUUCGGGUUGUAAACCUCUUUCAAUAGGGACGAAGCGCAAGUGACGGUACCUAUAGAAGAAGGACCGGCCAACUACGUGCCAGCAGCCGCGGUAAUACGUAGGGUCCGAGCGUUGUCCGGAAUUACUGGGCGUAAAGAGCUCGUAGGUGGUUUGUCGCGUUGUUCGUGAAAACUCACAGCUUAACUGUGGGCGUGCGGGCGAUACGGGCAGACUAGAGUACUGCAGGGNAGACUGGAAUUCCUGGUGUAGCGGUGGAAUGCGCAGAUAUCAGGAGGAACACCGGUGGCGAAGGCGGGUCUCUGGGCAGUAACUGACGCUGAGGAGCGAAAGCGUGGGGAGCGAACA